GGUUAAGCGACUAAGCGUACACGGUGGAUGCCCUGGCAGUCAGAGGCGAUGAAGGACGUGCUAAUCUGCGAUAAGCGUCGGUAAGGUGAUAUGAACCGUUAUAACCGGCGAUUUCCGAAUGGGGAAACCCAGUGUGUUUCGACACACUAUCAUUAACUGAAUCCAUAGGUUAAUGAGGCGAACCGGGGGAACUGAAACAUCUAAGUACCCCGAGGAAAAGAAAUCAACCGAGAUUCCCCCAGUAGCGGCGAGCGAACGGGGAGGAGCCCAGAGCCUGAAUCAGUGUGUGUGUUAGUGGAAGCGUCUGGAAAGGCGCGCGAUACAGGGUGACAGCCCCGUACACAAAAAUGCACAUGCUGUGAGCUCGAUGAGUAGGGCGGGACACGUGGUAUCCUGUCUGAAUAUGGGGGGACCAUCCUCCAAGGCUAAAUACUCCUGACUGACCGAUAGUGAACCAGUACCGUGAGGGAAAGGCGAAAAGAACCCCGGCGAGGGGAGUGAAAAAGAACCUGAAACCGUGUACGUACAAGCAGUGGGAGCACGCUUCGGCGUGUGACUGCGUACCUUUUGUAUAAUGGGUCAGCGACUUAUAUUCUGUAGCAAGGUUAACCGAAUAGGGGAGCCGAAGGGAAACCGAGUCUUAACUGGGCGUUAAGUUGCAGGGUAUAGACCCGAAACCCGGUGAUCUAGCCAUGGGCAGGUUGAAGGUUGGGUAACACUAACUGGAGGACCGAACCGACUAAUGUUGAAAAAUUAGCGGAUGACUUGUGGCUGGGGGUGAAAGGCCAAUCAAACCGGGAGAUAGCUGGUUCUCCCCGAAAGCUAUUUAGGUAGCGCCUCGUGAACUCAUCUCCGGGGGUAGAGCACUGUUUCGGCAAGGGGGUCAUCCCGACUUACCAACCCGAUGCAAACUGCGAAUACCGGAGAAUGUUAUCACGGGAGACACACGGCGGGUGCUAACGUCCGUCGUGAAGAGGGAAACAACCCAGACCGCCAGCUAAGGUCCCAAAGUCAUGGUUAAGUGGGAAACGAUGUGGGAAGGCCCAGACAGCCAGGAUGUUGGCUUAGAAGCAGCCAUCAUUUAAAGAAAGCGUAAUAGCUCACUGGUCGAGUCGGCCUGCGCGGAAGAUGUAACGGGGCUAAACCAUGCACCGAAGCUGCGGCAGCGACGCUUAUGCGUUGUUGGGUAGGGGAGCGUUCUGUAAGCCUGUGAAGGUGUACUGUGAGGUAUGCUGGAGGUAUCAGAAGUGCGAAUGCUGACAUAAGUAACGAUAAAGCGGGUGAAAAGCCCGCUCGCCGGAAGACCAAGGGUUCCUGUCCAACGUUAAUCGGGGCAGGGUGAGUCGACCCCUAAGGCGAGGCCGAAAGGCGUAGUCGAUGGGAAACAGGUUAAUAUUCCUGUACUUGGUGUUACUGCGAAGGGGGGACGGAGAAGGCUAUGUUGGCCGGGCGACGGUUGUCCCGGUUUAAGCGUGUAGGCUGGUUUUCCAGGCAAAUCCGGAAAAUCAAGGCUGAGGCGUGAUGACGAGGCACUACGGUGCUGAAGCAACAAAUGCCCUGCUUCCAGGAAAAGCCUCUAAGCAUCAGGUAACAUCAAAUCGUACCCCAAACCGACACAGGUGGUCAGGUAGAGAAUACCAAGGCGCUUGAGAGAACUCGGGUGAAGGAACUAGGCAAAAUGGUGCCGUAACUUCGGGAGAAGGCACGCUGAUAUGUAGGUGAAGCGACUUGCUCGUGGAGCUGAAAUCAGUCGAAGAUACCAGCUGGCUGCAACUGUUUAUUAAAAACACAGCACUGUGCAAACACGAAAGUGGACGUAUACGGUGUGACGCCUGCCCGGUGCCGGAAGGUUAAUUGAUGGGGUUAGCGCAAGCGAAGCUCUUGAUCGAAGCCCCGGUAAACGGCGGCCGUAACUAUAACGGUCCUAAGGUAGCGAAAUUCCUUGUCGGGUAAGUUCCGACCUGCACGAAUGGCGUAAUGAUGGCCAGGCUGUCUCCACCCGAGACUCAGUGAAAUUGAACUCGCUGUGAAGAUGCAGUGUACCCGCGGCAAGACGGAAAGACCCCGUGAACCUUUACUAUAGCUUGACACUGAACAUUGAGCCUUGAUGUGUAGGAUAGGUGGGAGGCUUUGAAGUGUGGACGCCAGUCUGCAUGGAGCCGACCUUGAAAUACCACCCUUUAAUGUUUGAUGUUCUAACGUUGACCCGUAAUCCGGGUUGCGGACAGUGUCUGGUGGGUAGUUUGACUGGGGCGGUCUCCUCCUAAAGAGUAACGGAGGAGCACGAAGGUUGGCUAAUCCUGGUCGGACAUCAGGAGGUUAGUGCAAUGGCAUAAGCCAGCUUGACUGCGAGCGUGACGGCGCGAGCAGGUGCGAAAGCAGGUCAUAGUGAUCCGGUGGUUCUGAAUGGAAGGGCCAUCGCUCAACGGAUAAAAGGUACUCCGGGGAUAACAGGCUGAUACCGCCCAAGAGUUCAUAUCGACGGCGGUGUUUGGCACCUCGAUGUCGGCUCAUCACAUCCUGGGGCUGAAGUAGGUCCCAAGGGUAUGGCUGUUCGCCAUUUAAAGUGGUACGCGAGCUGGGUUUAGAACGUCGUGAGACAGUUCGGUCCCUAUCUGCCGUGGGCGCUGGAGAACUGAGGGGGGCUGCUCCUAGUACGAGAGGACCGGAGUGGACGCAUCACUGGUGUUCGGGUUGUCAUGCCAAUGGCACUGCCCGGUAGCUAAAUGCGGAAGAGAUAAGUGCUGAAAGCAUCUAAGCACGAAACUUGCCCCGAGAUGAGUUCUCCCUGACUCCUUGAGAGUCCUGAAGGAACGUUGAAGACGACGACGUUGAUAGGCCGGGUGUGUAAGCGCAGCGAUGCGUUGAGCUAACCGGUACUAAUGAACCGUGAGGCUUAACCUU
rnacentral:rRNA from 1 species